rnacentral:rRNA from 1 species
UCCGUAGGUGAACCUGCGGAGGGAUCAUUACCGAGUUAUACAACUCAUCAACCCUGUGAACAUACCUAAACGUUGCUUCGGCGGGAACAGACGGCCCCGUAACACGGGCCGCCCCCGCCAGAGGACCCCCUAACUCUGUUUCUAUAAUGUUUCUUCUGAGUAAAACAAGCAAAUAAAUUAAAACUUUCAACAACGGAUCUCUUGGCUCUGGCAUCGAUGAAGAACGCAGCGAAAUGCGAUAAGUAAUGUGAAUUGCAGAAUUCAGUGAAUCAUCGAAUCUUUGAACGCACAUUGCGCCCGCCAGUAUUCUGGCGGGCAUGCCUGUUCGAGCGUCAUUACAACCCUCAGGCCCCCGGGCCUGGCGUUGGGGAUCGGCGGAGCCCCCCGCGGGCACACGCCGUCCCCCAAAUACAGUGGCGGUCCCGCCGCAGCUUCCAUUGCGUAGUAGCUAACACCUCGCAACUGGAGAGCGGCGCGGCCACGCCGUAAAACCCCCAACUUCUGAACGUUGACCUCGAAUCAGGUAGGAAUACCCGCUGAACUUAAGCAUAUCAAUAAGCGGAGGA